ACCUCAUGGACGCAAUCCAACCCUGGACGUAGGUUCCUUUGUUGCAAAACUUCAAAGGCACGAGGUGGAUGUGGAUAUUUUCGAUGGUGUGAUGAUGAAAUGUCGGCUCAAGCUAGGAGGGUGAUAUGGGGUUUGUUGAAAAGAGUCAAAACAUAUGAAUUGGAGAGGAAUCGAUCAAGAAAAGUAUGGAUGAUAUGCAUUGUCGUAGGGGUGAUAUUGGCUACUUGGAUUUAUGUAACAAAAUGAUCUUAGUUGGUUCAUUUGUCUUCUACUAGAUUCCUUCAUAAAAGUAUGUAUGAUAGAUUGUAGUGUUCUCUAUGAGGGCAAUUUUGAUCGGCUUUUCUAUUGUAAAUGCCUUCAAUUGUGUUCUUAUUGUAAUGAUUUUGAUUGAAGGAAUGAAGACAAACUGUGUGUUAGUC